rnacentral:rRNA from 1 species
AUUGAACGCUGGCGGAAUGCUUUACACAUGCAAGUCGAACGGUAGAGGGGGCAACCCCUCGAGAGUGGCGAACGGGUGAGUAAUAUAUCGGAACGUGCCCAGUCGUGGGGGAUAACGUAGCGAAAGUUACGCUAAUACCGCAUACGCUCUAAGGAUGAAAGCGGGGGAUCGCAAGACCUCGCGCGAUUGGAGCGGCCGAUAUCAGAUUAGGUAGUUGGUGGGGUAAAGGCUCACAAAGCCAACGAUCUGUAGCUGGUCUGAGAGGACGACCAGCCACACUGGAACUGAGACACGGUCCAGACUCCUACGGGAGGCAGCAGUGGGGAAUUUUGGACAAUGGACGCAAGUCUGAUCCAGCCAUUCCGCGUGCAGGAUGAAGGCCCUCGGGUUGUAAACUGCUUUUGUACGGAACGAAAAGGUCUCUCUUAAUACGGGGGGCUCAUGACGGUACCGUAAGAAUAAGCACCGGCUAACUACGUGCCAGCCGCCGCGGUAA